rnacentral:rRNA from 1 species
GAAUGAACGCUGGCGGCGUGCUUAACACAUGCAAGUCGUACGAGAACGCUUCAGCUUGCUGUAGCUAGUAAAGUGGCGAACGGGUGAGUAACGCGUGGGUAAUCUACCUUCGAAUUGGGGAUAACAUUGCGAAAGCGAUGCUAAUACCGGAUAAUAUCUAAGAAUCCUCGGGUUUUUAGAUCAAAGGUGGUCUCUACAUGUAAGCUAUUGUUUGGAGAUGAGCCCGCGUACCAUUAGCUUGUUGGUAGGGUAAAGGCCUACCAAGGCGACGAUGGUUAGCUGGUCUGAGAGGAUGAUCAGCCACACUGGAACUGACACACGGUCCAGACUCCUACGGGAGGCAGCAGUGAGGAAUUUUGCGCAAUGGGGGAAACCCUGACGCAGCAACGCCGCGUGAGUGAUGAAGGCUUUCGGGUCGUAAAGCUCUGUCAAGUGGGAAGAAACUAUAGAAUGCCAAUACCAUUCUGUACUGACGGUACCACUGAAGGAAGCACCGGCUAACUCCGUGCCAGCAGCCGCGGUAAUACGGGGGGUGCAAGCGUUAUUCGGAAUCAUUGGGCGUAAAGAGCGCGUAGGCGGUCUCUUAAGUCAGGUGUGAAAGCCCGAGGCUCAACCUCGGAAGUGCACUUGAAACUAAGAGACUUGAGUAUGGGAGAGGGAAGUGGAAUUCCUGGUGUAGCGGUGAAAUGCGUAGAUAUCAGGAGGAACACCGGUGGCGAAGGCGACUUCCUGGACCAAUACUGACGCUGAGGCGCGAAGGCGUGGGUAGCAAACAGGAUUAGAUACCCUGGUAGUCCACGCAGUAAACGGUGAACACUAGGUGUAGCGGGUAUUGACCCCUGCUGUGCCGCAGUUAACGCAUUAAGUGUUCCGCCUGGGGAGUACGGCCGCAAGGUUAAAACUCAAAGGAAUUGACGGGGCCCGCACAAGCGGUGGAGCAUGUGGUUUAAUUCGACGCAACGCGAAGAACCUUACCUGGAUUUGACAUCCCGGGAAUCCUAUCGAAAGACUGGAGUGCCCUUCGGGGAACCCGGAGACAGGUGCUGCAUGGCUGUCGUCAGCUCGUGUCGUGAGAUGUUGGGUUAAGUCCCGCAACGAGCGCAACCCCUAUCUUUAGUCACCAUCAUUCAGUUGGGGACUCUAAAGAUACUGCCCCGGUCAACGGGGAGGAAGGUGGGGAUGACGUCAAGUCCUCAUGGCCUUUAUGUCCAGGGCUACACACGUGCUACAAUGGGCAGUACAAAGGGUAGCGACAUCGCGAGGUGAAGCCAAUCC